AAUUACUGGAUCAUCUUUGAUUUGUCAUCUAAUAGUCAAUGGAAUUGUAACUUUGUUAAUUGUUAGUUCUUAGAAUAGAUUCAAUUAAAAUCGAUGACAUCAAUCAGCAACAAUUUAUCAAUCGUUGUAACAAUUAACCUUAAUGCGAAAAGUGAAAAACAAAUCUAAUCAAAGUAAAUUGUUUACAAUUAGAAAAAGAAAUCAAAUUAAUUGUAAACAUACCUACGUGAUGAGAUGCAAAUCUAAUUGUUAACAAUUAGUCUGGGAAAAUUACUUAUCAUUAGAAAUUAAAUUUGUCUGAUCAACAAUUAGUCAAAUAUGAUAACAAGGAUCACAAUUAAACUUAAUUGUUACGGAAAAACCUUCAACAGAUUCUAAUUAUAAUGUAACUAUAUUUACUCAUUAUAAAGAAAGUUAAUUAUAAUGUCGAUACAUUUGCAAUUAAAUUUGACAAAUCAAUCAAUUAAUUACACAUUUAUGAUGAUUAUGAUUAAUAAUUAAUGAGAAAAUGAUUAACUUUUGAUUAGAUUAACAAGAAGGAAAUUAUUUUAAUUGUGUUUACCAGAAACGGUAUCAAUAGUAAUUAGAAUUACUUUGUUUACCAUUUAGCUUUAACAUAGAGAGAAAUUGAUUAGUAGUUUAUCAACAAUUAAUUUAAUCGUAAUAAUCAAUUGAUUAGUAGAAGAGAAAUCAACGAAAAUAGACAGAGAAAUAGACAGAGAACAAGAAAAAGAGAGACGAUCAAGUGAGUGAGAGAAAAAUAUAAAAAUCAUUUUCUCUUCAACGAAUCAAGUGAAUGUCACAUUUUCCUUGGAGACUUUGAGUUUGCUAAUUGAUUUGAUUUUUUGAUUAAUUGUCUUCAUCUUUAAGAAUUAAUUACUCUUUGAUUGUUGUUCUUUGAAGGUGUUGAGUUAAUUUGGAUUCGUUUUAAUUGUGAUAAUCAAUGACAACCAUUAAAGAUCAACAUCAAAUGCCUAAUCCCAAAUGGAUCAUCUUUUGUUGCUAAUCUGUAAAGUGGUCAACACAUUUUGUGACUAUAAGUGUCUUAAUUGUUCAAGUGAUUUAUUGUUAAUAAGAACGUUUAAAUUGACUAAAAGAUGCCAGUUUACGCUGCUAUCAGUCGAUCAAGGAAACGAAGUCAGGAACGGAAACUGUCCCUUAGUUCCUGUUCCUCUGAGUCUUCAUCUAUUUCCUCAAGUGAAAUUGAUAUAAAGGUGGAUCAGAAUGUGAUCUUUGUGGAUUAUCACUUAAAUCGGUCAAACAACAUUACAUUUGUGGACAUAAUUUUCACAUCGAUUGUAUUUGGAGAUACAAAAGAUUAGCCCCCAGUAACCAUGAGUAUUGUCCAGUUUGUGGUAUUCAUCAUCCACCAAAAACAAUUAGAAAUUACUAAUUAUCAUCCUCAUCACCAUCAUCAUCGUUGGGUCAUCAAUAUUUAUCCACAUCUCAUACUUGCGACAAUUUAAAUCUAAUUGUUUGCCUCUUGCUCUCUGUCUCUCAUUAUCCAUCAAAAAUCAUUGUAAUUAUUUAAUCGAUCAUAACAAAGUCACAGAUCAUGAUUAAUACCAAUCAAUACGAAUAUAAAAUACAACUAAAUCAAUCAAAACAGCUCAAAACAAUUAAAUUGUAAUCGAAACAAAAAACACGCUGAUUAAACAAGUGUAUCUUUGUAUUAUAAUCAUCACAAUCAAAAAUCAAA